rnacentral:rRNA from 1 species
AGAAUCAACGCCGGCGGCGUGCCUAACACAUGCAAGUCGCACGAGAAAGGGGAGCAAUCCCUGAGUACAGUGGCGCACGGGUGAGUAACACGUGAAUCAUCUACCUCCGAGUGGGGAAUAACUGAGAGAAAUCUUAGCUAAUACCGCAUAACACUUACGAGUCAAAGCAGCAAUGCGCUUGGAGAGGAGUUCGCGGCAGAUUAGUAGUUGGCGGGGUAAUGGCCCACCAAGACGAUGAUCUGUA